rnacentral:rRNA from 1 species
UACAGAGGGUGCGAGCGUUAAUCGGAAUUACUGGGCGUAAAGCGUGCGUAGACGGUAGCGUAAGUCAGAUGUGAAAGCCCCGGGCUCAACCUGGGAACUGCAUUUGAGACUGCUCUGCUCGGGUGCGGAAGAGGGAAGCGGAAUUUCCGGUGUAGCGGUGAAAUGCGUAGAUAUCGGAAGGAACACCAGUGGCGAGAGCGGCUUCCUGGUCCGACACCGACGUUCAGGCACGAAAGCGUGGGGAGCAAACAGG